UACGUAGGGGGCAAGCGUUGUUCGGAUUCAUUGGGCGUAAAGGGUGCGUAGGUGGCGGGGUUAGUCAGGUGUGAAAUCUCGGAGCUCAACUCCGAAACUGCACUUGAUACUGCCUUGCUAGAGUACUGGAGAGGAGAUUGGAAUUUACGGUGUAGCAGUGAAAUGCGUAGAUAUCGUAAGGAAGACCAGUGGCGAAGGCGAAUCUCUGGACAGUUACUGACACUGAGGC
rnacentral:rRNA from 1 species